GCUGGAAUCGCUAGUAAUCGCGGAUCAGAAUGCCGCGGUGAAUACGUUCCCGGGUCUUGUACACACCGCCCGUCACACCAUGAGAGUUGGGAAUACCCGAAGCCUGUGAGCUAACUGUAAGGAGGCAGCAGUCGAAGGUAGAAUCAAUGAUUGGGGUGAAGUCGUAACAAGGUAAC
rnacentral:rRNA from 1 species